rnacentral:rRNA from 1 species
GCAGUCGAACGAACUCUGGUAUUGAUUGGUGCUUGCAUCAUGAUUUACAUUUGAGUGAGUGGCGAACUGGUGAGUAACACGUGGGAAACCUGCCCAGAAGCGGGGGAUAACACCUGGAAACAGAUGCUAAUACCGCAUAACAACUUGGACCGCAUGGUCCGAGUUUGAAAGAUGGCUUCGGCUAUCACUUUUGGAUGGUCCCGCGGCGUAUUAGCUAGAUGGUGGGGUAACGGCUCACCAUGGCAAUGAUACGUAGCCGACCUGAGAGGGUAAUCGGCCACAUUGGGACUGAGACACGGCCCAAACUCCUACGGGAGGCAGCAGUAGGGAAUCUUCCACAAUGGACGAAAGUCUGAUGGAGCAACGCCGCGUGAGUGAAGAAGGGUUUCGGCUCGUAAAACUCUGUUGUUAAAGAAGAACAUAUCUGAGAGUAACUGUUCAGGUAUUGACGGUAUUUAACCAGAAAGCCACGGCUAACUACGUGCCAGCAGCCGCGGUAAUACGUAGGUGGCAAGCGUUGUCCGGAUUUAUUGGGCGUAAAGCGAGCGCAGGCGGUUUUUUAAGUCUGAUGUGAAAGCCUUCGGCUCAACCGAAGAAGUGCAUCGGAAACUGGGAAACUUGAGUGCAGAAGAGGACAGUGGAACUCCAUGUGUAGCGGUGAAAUGCGUAGAUAUAUGGAAGAACACCAGUGGCGAAGGCGGCUGUCUGGUCUGUAACUGACGCUGAGGCUCGAAAGUAUGGGUAGCAAACAGGAUUAGAUACCCUGGUAGUCCAUACCGUAAACGAUGAAUGCUAAGUGUUGGAGGGUUUCCGCCCUUCAGUGCUGCAGCU